GGGUGUGCGUCGUGUGCAUGUUCACACAUGAUGCAGGGCGGCGGCUGGGGGCGAGGAAGUCUUGCGGUAUCUCAGCGGCUAACUCGAUGUCAACUUCCUUGGGAGUAAGGAGCCACUUCACACAGCCAGACUUGCUUCCGAGUAGACAUGCACGGGGUCGGGCUGCAAGGUUAAUCUGGCACUGUGGAGAAGGAGUCUGGUGCAGUAGCCAAGAACCCGACAACCUGUUGACAGGAGCUGGAAAUUGGAAAAGGAAGAUGGUAUAUCAUGUUGAUCAUCUUGUCGUGCUCUGGGAGGAGGGCAAGCCGGCACCAAAAGCCAGUCUUUUAGCUUGCAACUGUUCUAGGAAGCCUGUUCUGCCAAAAUGUGUCUGUGUGGCCAAUGGACUUAAGUGCACCGAUAUUUGCUGAAUCCAAGACUGUAACAACCAGGCAUCAGUUCUGGACAGUGACAACAGUGGUGGUAUUUUGCUUGAGCUGGAUGGUGAUGAAGAUUAUUGGCUUGAUAUUAUAUGGACCUGUAUCAGUUAAGCGACAACUGUAAACACUGAAUUUAAAAUGAUAUUUUGACUUUUAUUACUGUAUUUACCUUAAUCCAAGACUAUGUCAUUUCCAAAUUCUUUGACAUUAGAAAUGGGGUUUGGGGUGCUGUUUUCAAUCCGGGUCCUCUUCCUUUUGCGUAAACAGUAUAAUCUGCAUUUAACCCAUAUUUUUAAGGGGGCUCAUCUUCCAUUCGGAGUUCUCUUCUGUUUGGGUAAAUACAGGUAAAUGCUGUUAUAUUUGGGUAAAUGCUGUUAUAUUUUAUUGCUAAUUAAAUGCACUUAAGAGUA